rnacentral:rRNA from 1 species
GACGAACGCUGGCGGCGUGCUUAACACAUGCAAGUCGAACGGUGAACCUCUUCGGAGGGGAUCAGUGGCGAACGGGUGAGUAACACGUGGGCAACCUGCCCCCGGCUCUGGGAUAACUCCAAGAAAUUGGGGCUAAUACCGGAUGUUCACCGCUUCCCGCAUGGGUGGUGGUGGAAAGGGUUUCCGGCUGGGGAUGGCCCGCGGCCUAUCAGCUUGUUGGUGGGGUAGUGGCCUACCAAGGCGACGACGGGUAGCCGGCCUGAGAGGGUGACCGGCCACACUGGGACUGAGACACGGCCCAGACUCCUACGGGAGGCAGCAGUGGGGAAUAUUGCGCAAUGGGCGGAAGCCUGACGCAGCGACGCCGCGUGGGGGAUGACGGCCUUCGGGUUGUAAACCUCUUUCAGCAGGGACGAAGCGCAAGUGACGGUACCUGCAGAAGAAGCACCGGCCAACUACGUG